rnacentral:rRNA from 1 species
AUUGAACGCUGGCGGCAUGCUUUACACAUGCAAGUCGGACGAGUGGCGAACGGGUGAGUAACGCAUCGGAACGUACCUAGUCAUGGGGGAUAACUGUCCGAACGGUCAGCUAAUACUGCAUAUUAUUCGAGCGGCCAAUACGUGAUUAGCUAGUUGGUGGGGUAAAGGCCUACCAAGGCGACGAUCAGUAGCGGGUCUGCGAGGAUGAUCCGCCACACUGGGACUGAGACACGGCCCAGACUCCUACGGGAGGCAGCAGUGGGGAAUUUUGGACAAUGGGCGCAAGCCUGAUCCAGCCAUGCCGCGUGAAUGAAGAAGGCCUUCGGGUUGUAAAGUUCUUUCGGUAGAGAGGCGUUAACUACAGAAGAAGCACCGGCUAACUCCGUGCCAGCCGCCGCGGUAAUAC